rnacentral:rRNA from 1 species
UGGUGACUGAGUGGCGGACGGGUGAGUAACGCGUGGGUAACCUGCCUCAUACAGGGGGAUAACAGUUAGAAAUGACUGCUAAUACCGCAUAAGACCACAGCACCGCAUGGUGCAGGGGUAAAAACUCCGGUGGUAUGAGAUGGACCCGCGUCUGAUUAGGUAGUUGGUGGGGUAACGGCCUACCAAGCCGACGAUCAGUAGCCGACCUGAGAGGGUGACCGGCCACAUUGGGACUGAGACACGGCCCAAACUCCUACGGGAGGCAGCAGUGGGGAAUAUUGCACAAUGGGGGAAACCCUGAUGCAGCGACGCCGCGUGAGCGAUGAAGUAUUUCGGUAUGUAAAGCUCUAUCAGCAGGGAAGAAAAUGACGGUACCUGACUAAGAAGCACCGGCUAAAUACGUGCCAGCAGCCGCGGUAAUACGUAUGGUGCAAGCGUUAUCCGGAUUUACUGGGUGUAAAGGGAGCGUAGACGGAGUGGCAAGUCUGAUGUGAAAACCCGGGGCUCAACCCCGGGACUGCAUUGGAAACUGUCAAUCUGGAGUACCGGAGAGGUAAGCGGAAUUCCUAGUGUAGCGGUGAAAUGCGUA